GAGGGUGAGCCAGGAAGAGGAAGAGAGACUCUAAGAGCAGUAGGAAUGGGAACAUGAAGGAAAGCCAAAUUAAGCUCUAACCUCUGGUAUUGGAGAUUUGGUCUGAUGAUUUUCCUGAUGCCUCCCAUUCCUAUAGUUCUUAGGUGCUCGUUCCUCUUACUUUCAGCUAACACCAAUUUACUAGAGAAAACAAAAUGUAUCCAUGUCCACAUUUAGAUGCCUUGGCAGUGAGUCGGGAAGAGGAAGAAAGAGGGUCUAAGAAUGGUUGGAAUGGGAACAUGGAGGAAACCUAAACCUUUAGUUUCCAUCUCUGACAAUAGAGGUGGAAAUUUGGCUGAGUGUUUCCCAAUGCCUCCCAUUCCUAUUAUUCUUAAUCACUCCUUCCUCUUCCUUUUGACUUGCUCAAUUGUUUCCGCAGAGAAAACAAAA
rnacentral:sRNA from 1 species